rnacentral:tRNA from 1 species
AGAAAAAAAUGCUAAGCCAUCAGCAGUUAGACUCAUAACCUAAAAGUGAAGGAUCAUAUCUUCUUUUUCUG